AUACCUACGGGACGCAGCAGUGAGGAAUAUUGGUCAAUGGGCGCGAGCCUGAACCAGCCAAGUCGCGUGAGGGAUGACGGCCCUACGGGUUGUAAACCUCUUUUGUCGGGGAGCAAAUUCCGUUACGUGUAACGGAGUCGAGAGUACCCGAAGAAAAAGCAUCGGCUACCUCCGAGCCAGCAGCAGCGGUAAUACGGAGGAUGCGAGCGUUAUCAGGCUUUAUUGGGUUUAAAGGGUGCGUAGGCGGACUGUCAAGUCAGCGGUAAAAUACGACGGCUCCACCUCCGCCAGCCGUUGAAACAGAC
rnacentral:rRNA from 1 species